rfam:Felis catus isolate Cinnamon breed Abyssinian chromosome D4, whole genome shotgun sequence.
GCCUGGGUGGCUCAGUUUGGUUAAGCGUCUGACUUUGGCUCAGGUCAUGAUCUCGCAGUCCGUGAGUUCGAGCCCCACGUCGGGCU